AUUGAACGCUGGCGGCAGGCCUAACACAUGCAAGUCGAGCGGAUGACGGGAGCUUGCUCCUUGAUUCAGCGGCGGACGGGUGAGUAAUGCCUAGGAAUCUGCCUGGUAGUGGGGGACAACGUUUCGAAAGGAACGCUAAUACCGCAUACGUCCUACGGGAGAAAGCAGGGGACCUUCGGGCCUUGCGCUAUCAGAUGAGCCUAGGUCGGAUUAGCUAGUUGGUGAGGUAAUGGCUCACCAAGGCGACGAUCCGUAACUGGUCUGAGAGGAUGAUCAGUCACACUGGAACUGAGACACGGUCCAGACUCCUACGGGAGGCAGCAGUGGGGAAUAUUGGACAAUGGGCGAAAGCCUGAUCCAGCCAUGCCGCGUGUGUGAAGAAGGUCUUCGGAUUGUAAAGCACUUUAAGUUGGGAAGGAAGGGCAGUAAGUUAAUACCUUGCUGUUUUGACGUUACCGACAGAAUAAGCACCGGCUAACUCUGUGCCAGCAGCCGCGGUAAAAC
rnacentral:rRNA from 1 species